rnacentral:rRNA from 1 species
CCUACGGGUGGCAGCAGUGCGGAAUAUUGGUCAAUGGACGCAAGUCUGAACCAGCCAUGCCGCGUGCAGGAAGACGGCUCUAUGAGUUGUAAACUGCUUUUAUACGGGAGUAAACGCAGAUACGUGUAUCUGUCUGAAAGUACCGUACGAAUAAGGAUAGGCUAACUCCGUGCCAGCAGCCGCGGUAAUACGGAGGAUUCGAGCGUUAUCCGGAUUUAGUGGGUUUAAAGGGUGCGUAGGCGGGCGGAUAAGUUAGAUGUGAAAUCCCGAGGCUCAACUUCGGAAUUGCUUUUGAUACUGUUCGGCUAGAGAGUAGGUGCGGUAGGCGGAAUGUAUGGUGUAGCGGUGAAAUGCUUAGAGAUCAUGCAGAACACCGAUUGCGAAGGCAGCUUACCAAGCUACUACUGACGUUGAGGCACGAAAGCGUGGGGAGCAAACAGGAUUAGAUACCCGAGUAGUC